AAUGAUGGUUUUGUUACUUUUCAUUAUAGGUUUUAUGGGACUUUUUUCUACAACAAAAUAGGCUCCAUAAUCCCUACAGUAUUUACCCACUACAGAAAUUAUAGAGCU
rnacentral:ncRNA from 1 species